rnacentral:tRNA from 1 species
GCGAGAGUGGCGGAAUUGGCAGACGCGCUGGACUUAGGAUCCAGUGGGCUAACCGUGUGGGUUCGAGUCCCUCCUCUCGCA